rnacentral:rRNA from 1 species
CACCGCGGUUAUACGAGAGGCCCAAGUUGAUAGCCCAACGGCGUAAAGCGUGGUUAGGAAAACUAAACAACUAGGGCUAAACAUCCCCAGAGCUGUUAUACGCAAACGAGGAUAUGAAAAUCCCCCACAAAAGUGGCCCCAACUUACCCGACCCCACGAAAGCUGCAAAA